AUACAUACAGUCUUUCACACGCACAUGAUUCAUUCAGUGGCCUUAAGCAACAACACACUCGUCCCAAACCCUCCACCAAACAGCCGCACUAAUCAUAUUGUUUUCUAUAAAAGAAUGAAUAGCAUGAACACUUAAUUAUCUCAAAUGACUCAAACAGAUCUUACUGGCAAAUUGUAUACUGAAUCCAACCAACAUUUAAAAAAAAAUAAAAAUAAAACCCAGGGUAAUCUCCUUAACCCUGAGUUCUUUAAAUGACGUCAAGUCAUCAUACUGUAGCUGCUUGCAGCAUGAGCAAUAUGAGCAAUGAGAGAACUUUCUUCAACUUCAGAUAGCAAGUAGUAACAAGCUAGCAACGUAUCACAUGCUAGCCUAAAAUCUUUCAUGCUAUGUACUAGCUAGCAAGCUAGACACUAAAUAUUUUCCAUUUUAAUUACAAGAGAAAGCAACAACAGACUGAAUCCAAUUCAUCAGCAUUUGAUUUUCUUACCAGUGUUAUAGGUCUUUCUCUUAAAAUUUCUUAACAAGUUUUUAACAAAUACUAGUAGUGUGCUUGUCUAUUUUAAAAACCUUGAAGCCCUCUGGUGGGCUGGAGGCCCUACAUGACUACUUAUAUGACUCUUUAUAGGAGCACACAAAUAGGGUUUUUAUCAGAGAAUAUGGCAACUUUUAUACCCUCCCUAAAAUGUAAUUCACUGAUAAGAUUAUCCACCCACUUUCUGUAAAGCUUACUGAAGCCUAUCCCAGAGGACUCCGGAAAGCAGGCAAGGGACGGACGACACUGAAUGGGAUGUCUUUACAACACAGUGCACAGUCACACACAUUCUCACGGACAAUUUAGAGAUGUCAAUCUACCUACAACACGUGUUUUAUCACUGGGGAAGAAACCGUGAGUAUGUGAAGGAAUCUCCGUCGAUACCACAAUCCCAGAGCUGCAAGUAGUGAGGAGCCGGCAUAAUUGGAAUAUUGGGACAUUUGGGACAUUAUAAAUGUUGGACAGUGGUGGUUCAUGCCGUUAAAGCUCUGGGUCGUUGUUCAGAGGAUCGAGGUUCAAGCCCCAGCACUGCCACUGUCGGGCCCUUGAGUGAGGCCCUUAAUCCUCUCUGCUCCAGGGGUGCUGUAUCAUCUCUGACUCCAACAUCCAGUCUACAUACACUGUGCUGUAAUGUAUAUGUGACAAAAAUAAAAGCUUCUAUCUAUCUUAAACGCACAUGCAACUAUGACUUCUUUACUUUUUUAUGGUCUGAAAGAAAGAAUAAAAAGAAAAGAAACAUAGGAGUACUUUCAUAGUUUAUUUUUAAAUGUACAUUUUGAAACACUACACAAACUGUAUAGUUUUUAGUAUGUACAUGUACUUCAGUUUGCAGGAUUGUGAAUAAGCACAGGAAAUGUUAUACCCUUGCCUUAUUGCCUGUUAUAAUACGACAUAGUACAGUACUGCUUGAACGAGGCCUGCAGACUGAAAAGCAGCAAAUGACUGACAUCAAUAAAAAAUACAUGUCUGUUCUUGACCUUGUUUAUUCUAGCCUUGAGUAUUAUCUGUCCGGUGUUGAUUGUAUCCAUUGCUGAUGUAUAUUUAAAUGUACAGGUUUUUAUUUUAUAACAGUUGACCCAUGCAAUGUUACAGUUAUACCAG